GACGAACGCUGGCGGCGUGCCUAAUACAUGCAAGUAGAACGCUGAAGGAGGAGCUUGCUUCUCUGGAUGAGUUGCGAACGGGUGAGUAACGCGUAGGUAACCUGCCUUGUAGCGGGGGAUAACUAUUGGAAACGAUAGCUAAUACCGCAUAAUAGUAGAUGACGCAUGACAUUUGCUUAAAAGGUGCACUUGCAUUACUACCAGAUGGACCUGCGUUGUAUUAGCUAGUUGGUGAGGUAACGGCUCACCAAGGCAACGAUACAUAGCCGACCUGAGAGGGUGAUCGGCCACGCUGGGACUGAGACACGGCCCAGACUCCUACGGGAGGCAGCAGUAGGGAAUCUUCGGCAAUGGAAGGAAGUCUGACCGAUCAACGCCGCGUGAGUGAAGAAGGUAUUCGUGUCGUAAAGCUCUGUUGUAAGAGAAGAACGGGUGUGAGAGUGGAAAGUUCACACUGUGACGGUAUCUUACCAGAAAGGGACGGCUAACUACGUG
rnacentral:rRNA from 1 species